GCUCCUUUGAUCAACCAACAGUUACAGGAGCGAUUGGUUUGAAGAAGGGUGGAACCAGCACUAAGGGGUUUUGGCCCUGUAGUAGAAAGCCUUUCAUGAUCAGGACGUAUUUAUUGUACUUUUGUAUUGUUCAUCUAUAAAUAAGAAAACUCUGGAACUAUACAAAAACAACAUCAGUGAAGAGGACCCAAUAACGAUAAUAUAACUGCAAGCAACGAUGACGGGCCCAUGCCCGGCGCAACUGCCACCCCGGUGGCUUUAUGGAGACUGUUCAUGACAGGAAAUAUGCAUUUAAACUGGGAAUACACUCCCUACUCCCUUCUUUAUAGACAUUCCUGCCUCUCUCAGAACAAAAGAAGUCACAGUGCAACCGGAUGAAGGCCAGGAGGAGUUGUUGGACAGUAGAAGUAUUUUCCAAAAGCCUGGUCAACAAGCAUUGCAACUCUGAUAACUGACCACAAGCAUGUGUAACUUCACAUACACCAUCUACGCUGGUAUGGAUGCAAGAAUGGACUAUAGGGAAUUUUAAGUGCUGUUGCAUAUUCUUUGUUUUUAUGUACGUUUGUGUACAUUCAUCAAACCCUUAGUAAUCUUUUAAUUCCAGUUCACACUGCACCAAUAGACACGGACAACCACCAGAUUACAGUAUAUCACUUCUUAGACAUUCCACGAACCGACAAACAAUGAGUGAACAUGAACCGACCAACACUAACAGACAGUGUCAGGGUAUCUGCCGAAUUGUAUCUGCCAUUGGUCGGUGUGAACUGCCUUUUUAUAAAGGAUGUUUUAUGUAUGUACUGAUCUCACAAAGCACAAUACAGCAGGAUGUUUGAUUUUGUGGAUGUCUGGCAUUUUCCCAUAACAUUUUCUUCAAACAACACUUCAAAACAAAACACAAGGAGGAAGUGGUGCUUGUGGUUAUUCUGUUCCUCUUGGAUGAAACUGCAUUGGAUGUGACUCAUGCUGCUACCACAUACAUGCUUAUGGCAGUGACUUACAUGCUCAUUGCAUGUAGGCUAUUAUAUAGCAAAGAGGUGUGUAUUUUAUGGAAAUAGAUAAAAAGUGAUAGAGUGUGAGUGAGUGAGUGAGAGAGAGAGAGAGAGAGAGAGAGAGAGAGAGAGAGAGAGAGAGAGAGAGAAUGAGAGGGAGAGAGGGAGGGAGAGAGGGAGGGAGGAUCCCUAGCAAACAAGAAUGUCUCUUCCUGUUUACACAAUUUAUGGCCCAGUAGAGGAUGUGGCAGAAUUAGCCCGAACCUUAAUUAUAUUACACAUUUAUAAUAAUUUAUUGUUUAAACAGUAUAAAUAAUAUAAAAUAAUUAAAAAAUAAAUGGGUAAAAAAUAAAUGUAAA